AUUGAACGCUGGCGGCAGGCCUAGCACAUGCAAGUCGAGCGGAUGAAGGGAGCUUGCUCCUGGAUUCAGCGGCGGACGGGUGAGUAAUGCCUAGGAAUCUGCCUGGUAGUGGGGGAUAACGUCCGGAAACGGGCGCUAAUACCGCAUACGUCCUGAGGGAGAAAGUGGGGGAUCUUCGGACCUCACGCUAUCAGAUGAGCCUAGGUCGGAUUAGCUAGUUGGUGGGGUAAAGGCCUACCAAGGCGGCGAUCCGUAACUGGUCUGAGAGGAUGAUCAGUCACACUGGAGCUGAGAGACGGUACAGACUCCGACGGGAGGCAGCAGUGGGGAAUAGUGGACAAUGGGCGAAAGCCUGAUCCAGCCAUGCCGCGUGUGUGAAGAAGGUCUUCGGAUUGUAAAGCACUUUAAGUUGGGAGGAAGGGCAGUAAGUUAAUACCUUGCUGUUUUGACGUUACCAACAGAAUAAGCACCGGCUAACUUCGUG
rnacentral:rRNA from 1 species